rnacentral:rRNA from 1 species
AACGAACGCUGGCGGCAGGCCUAACACAUGCAAGUCGAACGCUGUAGCAAUACAGAGUGGCAGACGGGUGAGUAACGCGUGGGAACAUGCCCUUCGGUUCGGAAUAACUCAGGGAAACUUGAGCUAAUACCGGAUACGCCCUUAGGGGGAAAGAUUUAUUGCCGUAGGAUUGGCCCGCGUCCGAUUAGCUGGUUGGUGAGGUAAUUGCUCACCAAGGCGACGAUCGGUAGCUGGUCUGAGAGGGUGAUCAGCCACACUGGGACUGAGACACGGCCCAGACUCCUACGGGAGGCAGCAGUGGGGAAUAUUGUACAAUGGGCGCAAGCCUGAUCCAGCCAUGCCGCGUGAGUGAUGAAGGCCCUAGGGUUGUAAAGCUCUUUCGCCAGGGACGAUAAUGACGGUACCUGGAUAAGAAGCCCCGGCUAACUUCGUGCCAGCAGCCGCAGUAACAC